AAAAAAAAAAAAAAAAUGAAAAAAAGAAAAAAAAGAGAGGAGAUUGUCCGAAGAAUAGAAAGGAUCUUAUAGAUUAUAGGGAUUGAUUAUCCAGUAAAGUUUAAUAAUAUAGGCAUGCACCCAUAUAUUGGGUACAUCCCUUGUAUGUGUACCUUAAUAGUAUGGCAAUGAACAUUGGAUGAUAUGGUCCGAAGAAUGUCGAUAGUAGUUCCAUGAGCAUCCCUUGCAGGAUCACUCGACAAGAAAGCAAGUUAGGAGGUUGAUUGGGACAGGGCUAGAGAACAGGGCCGGUAGGGAAGGUGCGUUUGAGCGACCGUUUGUAGCUGAACUUGUCUCUUGGAAGCAGUCUAGAUCCUAGCUCAGCUGGACUCUCUCAUUCUUCCAGUUUCCUUUGAUUCUGUAAAUUAGUCAUCUGGACUCGUAGGUUUUUGUUUUACGAUCUUUACCAUGUGGGUGCCAUCUGGUUGGUAUACACUGUACCGGAAGGCAUCUUUUACAGACCUUUAAAUGUGGCUCAAGUGGCCUGGCUUUAAAAGCUGUUGAGGGAGCUUAACGUUGAUUCCCUGUAGCUCUUCAAAUGGAAUUUAUAUGACCUCCAUUUCCCAAUUUUAUCAAGUAAUAUUGCCAUUGCAUGAGACUGGUUCUUAUUCUAGUGAUUCCUUGCAGAGUGUUGAAUUAUUAUUGAAGCCUUUAAAUCUGCACCCGGUACAUUCAAAGACAAUUCUUGACAAAUUUGCUGCUGUUGGGAUACUCCAGGGGUACCUGGAUGCCAUGCACAGGAAAAUGAAGUCGGAGGAGUAAUCACUCUGCAAAUACACAUGUGGACGGGUUAAGGUAAUACGUUUCAAUGCCGACACUUCUACUUCCAAUGAUAUGGUGUCUAACUCGUCAAUGGUAUUCACUUAAUAAGCUGUACACCCUCGGGCUGCUGCCACCAUGGAUUUCUUUGUUGUAUUUUUUUUUUUGGUAAAAAUCAUUGUUGUAUUUAGACGCCAUUUGUUUUCAUGCAAAAUGUGAAAAUGGUGGAAAAGAAAAAUUUCCUGUAAAAUAAUAGUCUGGCUUUGUUUUGGUGUAAAAUGCAAAAAUGACAUUGAAAAAUAAGAAAAACUUACAUCAUGUGUAA